GGAAAGCCAUUAAUACUCCAUCUUCACGUUUCCUCUGCCCCUUCUUAGGGGAAAAAUUGUACUAGUAAAGUAUUCCCUCCAUUCUCCGAACUUUUUGCAAUUUUUUUGAAGGAGUUAAUAUUUUGUGCUGAGGCGGAAAGCGGGUGGGGGACAACCACGAUUGCUCGCCGGAUCUGCGCCGGGGAAGAAAGGCGGUGGUGGGCGGUCGCCCUCUCUCUCUCUCUCUCUCGUUUGGAUUUGGUGUUUGUGGGUCAUGAAACAGAAUCACUUUUCACUAUUCUGCCAAGCUCGUGGUGAGAAAAUCAGAGAAGCACCGCUGCUCAAGCUCGCCGACGACGUUGGCGGUGGUGGUCGGCGAUGAUUCUGCCAUGAAAGUGAGUGGCGAUUUCGGGUUCAACUUUUUAUUUUUUGGCUUCAAUUUCAUUGUUUUGCCCUUUCUGAUUUUCGUGUAAUACACUUGGAAUUUGAAUUUUUAAAUCUGGAUUGGAAUGCACUUGGAAUUUUUGGUUUGAUUAUGCAA